AUUUGGCGGACGGGUGAGUAACGCGUAUGUAACCUACCCUGUACAGGGGGAUAACCCGGAGAAAUUCGGACUAAUAUCCCAUAACAAUAUCCGGGGGCAUCUUUGGAUAUUUAAAGUUCCGGCGGUACGGGAUGGGCAUGCGUAACAUUAGCUAGUUGGUAAGGUAACGGCUUACCAAGGCUUUGAUGUUUAGGGGUCCUGAGAGGGUGGUCCCCCACACUGGUACUGAGACACGGACCAGACUCCUACGGGAGGCAGCAGUGAGGAAUAUUGGUCAAUGGGCGCAAGCCUGAACCAGCCAUCCCGCGUGCAGGAAGACGGCGCUAUGCGUUGUAAACUGCUUUUCCAGGGAGAGAAACUUGCGCACGUGUUGCGCAAUUGACGGUACCCUGGGAAUAAGCAUCGGCUAACUCCGUGCCAGCAGCCGCGGUAAUAAU
rnacentral:rRNA from 1 species